rnacentral:rRNA from 1 species
CGCGGCCUAUCAGCUUGUUGGUGAGGUAAUGGCUCACCAAGACGACGACGGGUAGCCGGCCUGAGAGGGCGACCGGCCACACUGGGACUGAGACACGGCCCAGACUCCUACGGGAGGCAGCAGUGGGGAAUAUUGCACAAUGGGGGAAACCCUGAUGCAGCGACGCAGCGUGCGGGAUGACGGCCUUCGGGUUGUAAACCGCUUUCAGCAGGGAAGAAGCGCAAGUGACGGUACCUGCAGAAGAAGUACCGGCUAACUACGUGCCAGCAGCCGCGGUAAUACGUAGGGUACGAGCGUUGUCCGGAAUUAUUGGGCGUAAAGAGCUCGUAGGUGGUUGGUCACAUCUGCUGUGGAAACGCAACGCUUAACGUUGCGCGUGCAGUGGGUACGGGCUGACUAGAGUGCAGUAGGGGAGUCUGGAAUUCCUGGUGUAGCGGUGAAAUGCGCAGAUAUCAGGAGGAACACCGGUGGCGAAGGCGGGACUCUGGGCUGUAACUGACACUGAGGAGCGAAAGCAUGGGGAGCGAACAGGAUUAGAUACCCUGGUAGUCCAUGCCGUAAACGUUGGGCACUAGGUGUGGGGGGCAUUCCACGUUCUCCGCGCCGUAGCUAACGCAUUAAGUGCCCCGCCUGGGGAGUACGG